UCCCACCUUACUAACAGGGAAAAGGGCCCAGGAGCCUUGAAGAAACCACUCUGCUCUUCCGGACACCAGGCAGCAUUCCCUGCCAGCCUCAUUAAGGGGGCUAACCACAUGGCCAUGGACAAGUUACUCUUUGUAAGAUGAGGAAGAAGAAAAGAUAGGAAGGACUGAGGAGGGCAUUAGGGAAGCAAUGUGUGUUACCUGGAGACCACAGAUGGAAGCAGACUCAACUGUGCCACACACCACAAGUCACCAUCAUAGCAACACUAACAGGCAGGACUGCCAGUACCAUUUCAUAGAAACUGAGGUUGGGUAACAGACUCAGCUUCAUGAACACUGUUGCUAGAAUGCUCUGCAUACCAGCAGUGGGGCUGGAAUCAUUCCCAAGAGAGAUGGGGAUCACUGGAGAGUGACAGAUUCCAAGCCUUGAAAUCUGGAGAGCACAAGAAAGGAGAUGCCAGCGAUAUGGCUGAGCACAACCCUGAGCAGCAGCCUGAGGAGAGGGUGGACAGGAUGGGAUGAGAAGGCCAAAGGAGCUGUUGAUGGCUGUAAGGCUCGGCCAGCACUCAUAGGUGACAUCAGGGCCUGCAGUGGGGCAAGACUCCCCAUUUGGAUUGCUUGUCUGUGACCCAUGAGUGGCAAAGAACACUGUGAUAGACAGGAGGGAUCUCAGGGGAGAUCUGGUGGAGGAAGGUGGGGUGGCUGGGUGAUGUGUGAACUGCAGAGCUGAUGAGAUGGCCCAGAAAAGGGUGGAAUGAUGAGAAGAUACACUAAUCUUGCGGCUCUUCUCCAACCUGCCCACCGGGAAGAGACAAGAUAACAAGAGACAACCCCAAUUCCCUGUCUGCACAGUGACACGCUUCCUUCCCACCCUGGCUGAGGAGAGAUGACAUGGACAGUUCAGGAAAGGAAUAUGCCCUUUUAAGGCUCUGGCUAUGAUCUACAAAAGGUUCUGGACCUAUAUAUAAACCACACAACACACCUUUGCAGUCCUGAAAAGGCUGGCAGAGCUGGGGUGCAGCUCAAGACGGAGUGCUUGGGCAGCAUGCAUAAGGCCCAGGUUCUAUCCCCAGCACUGCAAAAACAGAGGUGUGGGCUGGGAGUAAAUGGAAGAACGCCACGGGCCUGUUACACAGCUGUAGUUGUCCAUAGAUAGGCCAGCUCUGUGUCAGAGAAAUCUGAUUCCAGCAACAAUAAGGUGACCAUUGUCACAAACCACCACUAAUAAGAACAUUGAGAUGUGGACCGGCCCGAAGCCUUGGGCUAGAAACCAUUUCCAUUCUAGGGCAUUGCCUGACUCUCAUUAGCAUUUAUACGGGUGCACUCCAAGAGCCAAGGCACUGGAGAAGCUUUGCCAGGUAAUUUUCCACUGAGUCCUCAAGGCUGCCUUGCUCUGCCACAGUCAAAGAGGUUGCAUGGAUGACAGCUCCACAUGCUUCAGAAGAGAAGAGCAGGAGAGGUCCUCUCCAGCCCCCAGGAGCAUCCCCUCCCUCCCUACCCACGGGCAUGCAUCAAUAUUGCCUGGGCCUCUCCAGGUCAGAGCAGAAAGGACCUUCAGAGCACAUCCAACCAACCCAACCCUUCAGUCAGUCAAGAGAAGACCAUCAGCAUCAGAUGACACAGGAGCCACGUGACUGCUCACCAUCUAGUCUCUACAGAUGAGUUACUCUUACCCUGGUGACAACUCUAAACCAGCAGCUGCCUGGCAAGGCACAAAAGUCACCUGGUCAGAGUGCCAGUGACAAAGUAGGCAUAAUCCAAAUGCUUCUUUCCAGACUGGCCUUUGUGUUCAACCUGUUCCCAAAGCAGCAGGCAGGCACACAGCAUGCCCUGCAGCAGACCACGGGAGCAGACACAAUUCUAAACUCUGGGACAGACGUCUUAUUGAACCUCCAGGUGAGAUGAAUCCUCUGUGGUUUGGACCCUCGGUCUAUUGACUGAGCCCUCCUAUCUCCUCCGCUGUGGCCUCCUCAUCCUUCCCGUGGCUUCUUCUGAGGAAACUCUCCUUGCCAGUGUACCUCACAAUUAACGACCCUUCACCAAACUCCCAAUCCCUCACUCCACACCCCAGGUUUUAGAAGGACAGAACUGACCCUCAUGCUAACUUGCACUCAAGUGGGAUGGACCAUGACUGAUCCUUGCUCAGGCACUUUAAAGAACUUCUGGAGGCAAUACCUGCAAUGGUGGGAGGCCUGGCAACAGAGUGAAAGCUAUGACAGGGAGGCCAGAGCAUCCUGGGAGUCUCUCCUCAUCGCUGUUUGUGAAUUCGGAACCACCAGCCCACCCUACUUUACUACUCAGAUCUAAGCAUCUCUCUGAAACACGCCCAACUUUGAAAGCUAAGGAGAAAACCAGGAAGUAUCACCAAGGAAAGCAAAAUCAUGGCCGGCUCUUCUAUGCAGAUGCCAUGAGUCCUCCCCUAGUUCUUGUCGGUGAAUCUGCAGGUUCAACCAACUCCUAAUGGAAAAUACUGCUCUUACACUGAAUGUCUACAGACUCCUCCUCGUCAUUAUCACCUGGGCAAUACAGUAGGUACAGCAGCCAUCGUACAGCAAAUGCACUGUCUUGAGUAUUAUGCCACCCAGUGACGAUGCGGCCCACGGGAGAAAGCAGGUAUGGUGGCACACACUUAGAUCCCAGCUACUCAAGAGGCUGGGGGAGAAGGAUCACUUGGCGGAUGCCUGGGCAACACAGCAAGAACCCAUUUCCAAAAGCACAGAAAAACAGGAGGAGAAGGCAAUGUAUAUAGUUAAAUGUAAAUACAGCAUCAUUUUAUGUGGGGGACUUGAGCAUCUGUGGACCUCCUAACUCCAGGCACAGGAGUUCCUGGGAUCAAACUCCUACUGGGACCACAGAGGACCUUACACAAAGCAGCCUUCUGCCACAAACAAGUGAAAAUCAUCAAUGCCUGAAGUUAAAAGCCUGGUGACAGGAGGCUGGAGUCCUCAGAAAGGGACUUCAGGACAAGUCAGUCGCUCAUGUCUGAGCAUAACAAGUGACAAAGUCUACACUGACUUCAGCAGGGACAGCGCUGAUGCCAAUUAUUUUCUGCCCAAGUCGAGAGAGCUUGUCACCCUUCUGCAGAACAAUUAUCUAUAGGUGCACCAGAGUUAGAAGCUCAGCUCUUUCCCCGAAUCAGCAUGGGGAAAGUGCUGCUCACAGCGAUUUGACAGCGUUUCAUCAAAUUAAUCUUUGAAUGUGUUAGUCUAACAAUUACGCCAACUACCAUGUAAUACUCCAACUGACUUUACAAAAAUGAGGAAAACUCCCCCCAAGAAAAUGAGCAGUCAUUAGACAUGCACGAGACCUUUCUAUGGUCAACAGCACACAAAGUCCACCACAUAAUGGGUGGUGUCAAAGCCUUUUCCCGUGUCCUUCCAUUCUCGGCCACAGCACAGAAAGCUGACCCGGGCAAGAACCCAACUCCCCUUCACACAUUACUGCACGCACUGCUUUAAAUUCCUCGGAUAAAAUGAUGAAUGGCAAAUGUUUUAGCAAUUAAAAUCUCUUUUCAUUUACAGAAGCAAGAAAAACAUAAUUAAUGACUGGCCUCUUGCAU